UUGUAUAGAAAAUAAUGCAUUGGACGGAUGCCCAAGCAUUGAAAAGGAAGGACGAUUUUAGAGGCAAAAGGCCAUGGGGAGAUCUCGUCUGUGAUCCAUGGAUCUUUGAUCGGAGAACCGUAUUCAAGCUCUAUGGCUACUCUAUACUCUUUAGACUUUUCAAACUUAGCGAACUGAAACAUCUUAGUAGCUAAAGGAAGGGAAAUCAAUCGAGACCCCAUUAGUAGCGACGAGCGAGAGUGGAUUGGGGGUUUCCAUAAAAAGAAAGAUGAAGCUUUUUUCAUUGACUGAAGUCGAUCUUCUUCGAAUCGCUCCGUGGGGUCAAGUGAGUUCCUCAGCAAAGUCUGAACGUGAACUUCUUUUCCUUUUUCACCAGGUUUCAUUCGAUUUGUUGUUGAUUGGAUGAUGAAAAAACCAACAAGCCACUUGACCUUUCAUACGAGGUCAAGGGUAAAAGAAUUUAAGUUGUGAAAAGGUUGGAAGAUCUGGCUAAAGAAGGUGAUAACCCUAUAGAUUCGUUCCCAUGAUUCGAUCCUUCCCAAUCAAACGCGAUGUGUUUGAAAUUUGACCGAUAACAUACAAGUACCAUGAGGAAAAGGUGAAAAGAACCCUAUUUAGGGAGUGCAAUAAAGAACCUGAGAUCUGAUGCUUUUAAUCAACGAAGAAACUGCAAGCCUUGACUUUCAAUUCUCUUAGUCAAGCUAUCUCACUCUAACGGCGUACCUUUUGCAUGUUGGGUCAACAAGAAAAUAGGAACUACGGCUUAAGCCAUUGGGUGUAGGCGCUUUCUAGAGGUGGAAGAUUCUCGUUCUUCCUAUUUGACCUAAAAUCGAUCGAUCUAGCCAUGAGAAGGUUGAAGAGAACCCUAACAGUCCUUAAAGGAUUGAACCUAUGUAUGUGGCAAAAUACGGGGAUGACUUAUGGCUAGGGGUGAAAGGCUAACGAAGAUCGGAUAUAGCUGGUUUUUUGUGAAAUCUAUUUGAGUAGAGUGUAUGAUGUUGAUGGCUCGAGGUAGAGAACUCAAUGGGCUAUGGCCCUAUUUCGCCUUACCAACCUUAAGGAAACUUCGAAUAUAGGUCUAGAUUGUUUGUACAGACAGGCUUAUGGGGUGCUAAGAUCCAAAGUCGAGAGGGAAAUAGCCUAGAUCGUACACUAAUGUCCCUAAGUAAUCACUUAGUGAAAAAGAAAGUUCUUGAGCGAUGACAACCAGGAGGUGGGCUUGGAAGCAGCAUCCUUUGAAGAAAGCGUAAUAUCUCACUGGUUUAACUCCAUGGCAUUGAAAUUGUCUCGGGGCUCAAGUGAUUCAUCGAAGUGACGAGACCUUGAAAGUAGCUUUUUUAAGUGUCAAUAAUUGGACGUUUUGUCAAUCGGAGAAGGUUUUUGGUGACAAGAUCUAGAGAUAUCAGAAGUGAGAAUAACAUGAGUAACGAGAAAUCCUUUGAAAAAUAAGAUUGCCUGCCAGUGGAAGGCUUUCUGCAUUCAGUCAAUCUACACAGAGAGAAUCGGUCCCUAAGGAACCCUCGAAAGGGCUAUCGUUCAAUGGGUACCAAAAGUGACGAAGUAGCUUUGACUAUAGAACAAUCCCUAUACAUUGAAGUGAAUAUGAUGAUCGGGCCUAGGGCAGCCCCCUUUUCCCCUCACUCUCCUUUCCCGCAUUGUGGGAUUCACCUUGAGUCAUCAAAGCCUUUCUGACUCGACCUAGUCUAGUCGCCUUACUCGACUGGUGCGGCUGAAAGGCGAAACUCUCAUCUCCAUAACCGCUACAUGGGGGGUGGACACCUUUUUUUAUCUAAAGGCUUUGACUCUGAAAUGGCCUUUGACUCGGCCUAGCGGGCAAGGCUGGCUCUGGCUUUGCUAAUACCUUUCUCAGUAGUUGAAAGUGUACGCUUCCAUUUUCGAAUGUCUCGUUCAGCCUUAUAAGUCUACAAGCCUUUCUCAUUCCAGUGUUCGCCUUUGAGUAAGGGUCCUGAGAGAGCGUAUCGCCAUACUUGUGAGUCUGUUUAUAGUCACGGCUCUUGUCAUAGUGAUCAAGGUUUCAACUUCAAGGAAAACACUUCUUUUUGGGAGGGCGAUCCUCUCGGUAAACUGACUGUACCCCAAACCGACAUAGGUGAACAAGUAGAGUAUAUUACGGUGCUAGAGAGAACCAUGUUGAAGAAACUCAGCAAAAUGACCCUGUAACUUCGGGAGAAGAGGUGUUCUCCUAUUUUUUUCUUAGGAAAGCGACAUAGACGAGGGGGUAGCGACUGUUUAAUAAAAACACAGGAUUCUGCUAAGUGGUAACACGAUCUAUAGAGUCUGACACCUGUUCGAUGCUGAAAGGUCGAAAGGAGAAGUGUGAUAAGCUUUGAAUGGAAGCCCCGGUAAACAACGACAGUACUCUAACUGUCCUAAGGUAGCAAAAUUCCUUGUCGCAUAAGUACCGACUUGCACAAAUGGUGUCACGACUGCCCUGCUGUCUCUGACAUGAACCUGGUGAAAUUGAAUUCUCCAUGAAGAUGUACAGUACCAACGGCUAGAUGGUAAGACGCUGUGCACCUUCAUUAUAGCUUCGCAGUGAAAACCUUGAUCGAAAGUGUAGGAUAGGUGGGAGGUGGUGACACACAACAACCAAUCUUGAAAGACCUCUCUUUCGUCUAAGGAUGCCUAACCACUGCAUCGAGUUUCCGAGGGGCGUGGGGGCGGACAUUGCAAGGUGGGUAGGCUCAAGCUCAGAUUCUACUCGUAAGCGUAAUGGUAUAAGCCUGCCUGACUGUGAGACCGAUUGGUAGAAUAUAGACGAAAGUCAGCCAUAGUGAUCCGGAAGUUUCGUGUGGAAGGGCUCUCGCUCAAUGGAUCAAAGGUACACCGGGGAUAACAGGCAGAUGACUCCUAAGAGCUCUUAUUGAUGGAGUCAUUUGGCAGCUCGAUGUAUGAAAGUAGAUGUAGGGAUGCAAGAGAACUCCCACUGACAGAAAGAGACCUGGAUGCCCUUAUGACA
rnacentral:rRNA from 1 species